GGGCUACAACACAGGACCCGGGU
rnacentral:miRNA from 8 species